rnacentral:rRNA from 1 species
GAUGAACGCUGGCGGCGUGCCUAAUACAUGCAAGUCGAGCGAACAGAUGAGGAGCUUGCUCCUCUGACGUUAGCGGCGGACGGGUGAGUAACACGUGGAUAACCUACCUAUAAGACUGGGAUAACUUCGGGAAACCGGAGCUAAUACCGGAUAAUAUAUUGAACCACAUGGUUCAAUAGUGAAAGACGGUUUUGCUGUCACUUAUAGAUGGAUCCGCGCCGCAUUAGCUAGUUGGUAAGGUAACGGCUUACCAAGGCAACGAUGCGUAGCCGACCUGAGAGGGUGAUCGGCCACACUGGAACUGAGACACGGUCCAGACUCCUACGGGAGGCAGCAGUAGGGAAUCUUCCGCAAUGGGCGGAAGCCUGACGGAGCAACGCCGCGUGAGUGAUGAAGGUCUUCGGAUCGUAAAACUCUGUUAUUAGGGAAGAACAAAUGUGUAAGUAACUAUGCACGUCUUGACGGUACCUAAUCAGAAAGCCACGGCUAACUACGUG